UACAGAGGUCUCAAGCGUUGUUCGGAUUCAUUGGGCGUAAAGGGCGCGUAGGCGGCGGGGUAAGUCGGGUGUGAAAUCUCAGAGCUCAACUCUGAAACUGCACUCGAUACUGCUCUGCUUGAGGACUGGAGAGGAGACUGGAAUUCACGGUGUAGCAGUGAAAUGCGUAGAUAUCAGGAGGAACACCAAUAGCGAAGGCAGCUCGCUGGGACGUUACUGACACUGAGGCGCGAAAGCGUGGGGAGCGAACAGG
rnacentral:rRNA from 1 species